CAGGGAGAGGAAGGAUGUUAUGCAAGAUUCCGCCCAAUACUACGCGAACGGUGUAUCAGAUGUUUCUUUCCACCUAUAGUUAAGGAUGCUGAGGAUAGAUGGAUGAAGAGCACUCUACAGUGCCCCCUUUGAAUGAUGGAGAGGCGAGCGUUACUGACCCGAGCAUAGAUACACUGAGGGCUUGCAGCAUCCUACCUUACCUACCUGCCUGAUCCUUGCCGCUCUGGUCUCAGCCUCCCUCGGGUGGAAAGCGAAUCUGGAAGGCUAAUUCGACAUCCUGAAGUCUUAGAUGUUCUCCUGAGAGCUGUCAAGUCACUCGCAAUAUGUCUAAGGUGACUCAUAAACUUCACCAAAGAUGUCACUGUGUAGUCAGCAAAACAGUAU